rnacentral:rRNA from 1 species
GAUGAACGCUGGCGGCGUGCUUAACACAUGCAAGUCGAACGGAAAGGCCCUGCUAUCUUGCUGUGCUCGGGUGGCCAUCGUGUGUGUAUCACGUAAGUAUCCUUACCUUGACUUUGGGAUAACUUCAGGAAACUGAGGCUAAUACCAGACAGCAGCUCCUGCUGCAUGGUGGGCGUUGGAAAGUUGAGGCGGUUGGGGAUGGACUUGCGGCUUAUCAUCUUGUUGGUGGGGUAGUGGCUGACCAAGGCUUUGACAGGUAGCCGGCCCGAGAGGGUGAGCGGGAACAUUGGGACUGAGAUAGGGACCAGACGCAUACGGGAGGCAGAGGUGGGAAAUAUUAAACAAUGGGAGGGAGCGUGAUGCAGAAGCGCCGGGGGCGGGAUGACGGCCUUGGGGUUGUAAACCGCAGUCGCCUGUGACGAAGCGGAAGUGACGGUAAUCGGUAAAGAAGCACCGGCUAACUACGUG